rnacentral:rRNA from 1 species
AUAAAAGAUUAAGUUAUUAAGGGCGCACGGUGGAUGCCUUGGCACUAGAAGCCGAUGAAGGACGUUACUAACGACGAUAUGCUUUGGGGAGCUGUAAGUAAGCUUUGAUCCAGAGAUUUCCGAAUGGGGGAACCCA